AUUAGUGGUUCCUGGGCCAAACGCAUCGUUGAUAUCGCGAGCUGAUUCAGCAGCCUUUCGGCCUAGCUUGAGCUGGGAUGAGAAAAUUGUGCGAAUUUGCUUUUUGUCCAUGUUGUAUUCAACAUUCCGGAAAAAUAUGGCCUAUUUUCCAGAAAUACAAAUAGUAAUACGAUUGAUAGAG